AUGAGAAAGUCCAGUCAAAGGCACCCUUGCAGGAGGCGCUGCUUUCUGUCACGGGAUGGUUCAGAGUUGGGGAGGGAGGCCGCAGUUGAACAGCAAACCCUUACUCUGUUUGCUUUUCUCUGGGCCUGGGGCCCGGAACCCAGGGCGAGGGUGAGAAGUUGGGGAGAGGGCGCGCUCCCAGUGCGUGGCUGGGUCGCGCUGCCAGCUGCCUGGUGGCGGCAGGGUGAACCCGGCUACGCGCGCCGGGUGACCAAAGCUCCGCCCCCAGCUCUCGUCUCUCAUUGAUUGACGCGCAGCCGCGGGGAAACAGCAGCGCAGAGAUUGAGCUCAGGAUCCCUAGACUCUCCACGGUGGUCCACACAGUCUGCAGCGCACCGAGGGACUAUGCUUCGAGUUCAGCUGCUCAUAUCUUGUACUAGACAAAAAUGAAUAUUGACAAUAAGGGUUCUGCAUCUGCACGAGAAAGAAAGUACCACUCAACAACAACAACAACAGCAACAACAGCAAAAAUCCUAGCCUGGCCGUGGUGCAGUCUGCGGAGCUUGCUGCUCUAGGUUGUUAGUGGCAGAGUUCGGGACCUAGUAAUCCGCCGGCAGAGGAAGGGGGCUGCGGAAUUAAAACGAACAAAAGCUAGAGCGCCAUGCCAAACAUCCCCAACGCGACCCAGUUAGGCAGGAGCCAAGAGGAGUGGUGGGGAAAUAAACGAGAAGUAAGUUGAAAAU
rnacentral:lncRNA from 1 species